AUGGCCGAUUCGCCAAACCCUAGCUCCGGGGACCUCCCCUCAGCCGCCGGGAGCUCGCCCGAGAAGCCGUACCCCGCGGAUCGACGCGUCGCGGCGCUCGCCGGCGCGGGCGCGAGGUACAAGGCCAUGUCCCCGGCGCGGCUGCCGAUCUCGCGCGAGCCCUGCCUCACCAUCCCCGCCGGCUUCAGCCCCUCCGCCCUCCUCGAUUCCCCCGUGCUCCUCACCAACUUCAAGGUUGAACCUUCACCAACAACUGGUAGUCUGAGCAUGGCUGCAAUUAUGCACAAGAGUGCUCAUCCAGACAUACUGCCUUCGCCACGGGAUAAGUCUAUUCGAGCCCAUGAAGAUGGGGGUUCUAGGGAUUUUGAAUUCAAGCCUCAUCUGAAUUCGUCUUCUCAAUCACUGGCUCCUGCUAUGAGUGAUCUAAAAAAACACGAGCAUUCUAUGCAAAAUCAGAGUAUGAAUCCCAGCUCAUCAUCUAGCAAUAUGGUGAAUGAAAACAGACCUCCCUGUUCACGCGAGUCAAGUCUUACAGUGAAUGUAAGUGCUCCGAACCAACCUGUUGGAAUGGUUGGUUUGACUGACAACAUGCCUGCUGAAGUUGGUACAUCUGAGCCGCAGCAGAUGAAUAGUUCUGACAAUGCCAUGCAAGAGCCGCAGUCUGAAAAUGUUGCUGACAAGUCAGCAGAUGAUGGCUACAACUGGCGCAAAUAUGGGCAGAAGCAUGUCAAGGGAAGUGAAAACCCUAGAAGUUAUUACAAGUGCACACAUCCUAAUUGUGAAGUAAAAAAGCUAUUGGAGCGUGCGGUUGAUGGUCUGAUCACGGAAGUUGUCUAUAAGGGGCGCCAUAAUCAUCCUAAGCCCCAGCCUAAUAGGAGGUUAGCUGGUGGUGCAGUUCCUUCGAACCAGGGUGAAGAACGAUAUGAUGGUGCGGCAGCUGCUGAUGAUAAAUCUUCCAAUGCUCUUAGCAACCUUGCUAAUCCGGUAAAUUCGCCUGGCAUGGUUGAGCCUGUUCCAGUUUCAGUUAGUGAUGAUGACAUAGAUGCUGGAGGUGGAAGACCCUACCCUGGGGAUGAUGCUACAGAGGAGGAGGAUUUAGAGUCGAAACGCAGGAAAAUGGAGUCUGCAGGUAUUGAUGCUGCUCUGAUGGGUAAACCUAACCGUGAGCCCCGUGUUGUCGUUCAGACUGUAAGUGAGGUUGACAUCUUGGAUGAUGGGUAUCGUUGGCGGAAAUAUGGACAGAAAGUUGUCAAAGGAAACCCCAAUCCACGGAGUUACUACAAAUGCACAAGCACAGGAUGCCCUGUGAGGAAGCAUGUUGAGAGAGCAUCGCACGAUCCUAAAUCAGUGAUAACAACGUAUGAAGGAAAACAUAACCAUGAAGUCCCUGCUGCGAGGAAUGCAACCCAUGAGAUGUCCGCGCCUCCCAUGAAGAAUGUCGUGCAUCAGAUUAACAGCAGUAUGCCCAGCAGCAUUGGCGGCAUGAUGAGAGCAUGUGAAGCCAGGAACUUCAGCAACCAAUAUUCUCAAGCCGCUGAAACCGACAAUGUCAGUCUUGACCUUGGUGUUGGGAUCAGCCCGAACCACAGCGAUGCCACAAACCAAAUGCAGUCUUCAGGUCCUGAUCAGAUGCAGUACCAGAUGCAAUCCAUGGCUUCGAUGUACAGCAACAUGAGACAUCCAUCAUCAAUGGCAGUGCCAACGGUACAAGGAAACUCUGCUGGCCGCAUGUAUGGUUCCAGAGAAGAGAAAGGUAACGAAGGGUUUACUUUCAGAGCCACACCGAUGGACCAUUCAGCUAAUCUAUGCUAUAGCGGUGCUGGGAACUUGGUCAUGGGUCCAUGA
rnacentral:rRNA from 1 species